rnacentral:rRNA from 1 species
GACGAACGCUGGCGGCGUGCCUAAUACAUGCAAGUCGAGCGAUGAAGAUUGGUGCUUGCACCAAUUUGAAGAGCAGCGAACGGGUGAGUAACGCGUGGGUAAUCUGCCUUUUAGCGGGGGACAACAUUUGGAAACGAAUUCUAAUACCGCAUAACAACUUUAAACUUAAGUUUUAAGUUUGAAAGAUGCAAUUGCAUCACUCAAAGAUGAUCCCGCGUUGUAUUAGCUAGUUGGUGAGGUAAAGGCUCACCAAGGCGAUGGUGCAUAGCCGACCUGAGAGGGUGGGCGGCCGCAUUGGGACUGAGACACGGCCCAAACUGCUACGGGAGGCAGCAGUAGGGAAUCUUCAGCAAUGGACGAAAGUCUGACCGAGCAACGCCGCGUCAGUGAAGAAGGUUUUCGGAUCGUAAAACUCGGUUGGUAGAGAAGAACGUUGGUGAGAGUGGAAAGCUCAUCAAGUGACGGUAACUACCCAGAAAGGGACGGCUAACUACGUG